GACGAACGCUGGCGGCGUGCUUAACACAUGCAAGUCGAACGGAAAGGCCCUGCUUUUGUGGGGUGCUCGAGUAGCGAACGGGUGAGUAACACGUGAGUAACCUGCCCUUGACUUUGGGAUAACUUCAGGAAACUGGGGCUAAUACCGGAUAGGAGCUCCUGCUGCAUGGUGGGGGUUGGAAAGUUUCGGCGGUUGGGGAUGGACUCGCGGCUUAUCAGCUUGUUGGUGGGGUGGUGGCUUACCAAGGCUUUGACGGGUAGCCGGCCUGAGAGGGUGACCGGCCACAUUGGGACUGAGAUACGGCCCAGACUCCUACGGGAGGCAGCAGUGGGGAAUAUUGCACAAUGGGCGGAAGCCUGAUGCAGCAACGCCGCGUGCGGGAUGACGGCCUUCGGGUUGUAAACCGCUUUCGCCUGUGACGAAGCGUGAGUGACGGUAAUGGGUAAAGAAGCACCGGCUAACUACGUG
rnacentral:rRNA from 1 species